GGCUGUCUCUAGGCUUCUUACCAAUUCCUUUCAAGCAUCCUGCAUUAAGAAUCUCCUCUAAUCAAACCCAGCACACAAGUCCUCAUAUAAUUUCAGAGAUGCAUCUGUGGCCACCUGUAAUCAUUUGUACUGUUAUACUGGGCUUCUCCAAGACUGAAAAAGUCUUACAGAACCCAUUUAUAUCAGUUGAGAAUGGGGAAAAGGUCACUUUUAAUUGUACGUAUGAAACAACAGACAACAACCCAUACCUGCACUGGUAUAUACAAAGGCCGGGAGUGAGACUUCACUUUAUCCUACUCAGGCAUCUGUUCAGCAAGGAAGAGGAUGAACCUGGGGGAAAGUAUUCAUCAAAAGUGAACAAGGAGAGCAAAUCCAUUGAUCUGAGGAUCUCUGGUGUCAGUGUGUCUGACUCUGGGCUGUAUUAUUGUGCUGUGAGUGCCACAGUGUCUCUCUCUGCUGCCUCCUCUGUACAAGAAGCUCUGGUGCUCUCCAUGGUGCUUACUAAUAGUAAAAAUUACUGUAUAUGUAUUUUAUAGAAAAUAUGAAUCUCUAAUCUUGGGAACAAUCAAUCCAAUUGUUGACUUUUUCU